rfam:Ictidomys tridecemlineatus contig146226, whole genome shotgun sequence.
GGGGUUGUAGCUCAAUGGCAGAGCACUUGCCUGGCACGAAUGAGGCACUGGGUUCAAUCCUCAGCACCUCG